rnacentral:lncRNA from 1 species
CCGCCUCCACCACCACCUCCACCGCCGGCUGUCGAACCGGUACCCGCCCCGGCUGCCGAACCGGUACCCGCCCCUCCUCAUCUGUAUGUCCAGUUUACGAUUGAGGAUUUACUAGCCUUACCGGGACGGGGGGCUUUACGACGUCUGGUUCCCGGAAAAGCGGAACCAGGCUCUUAUUGGUAAGUAAACUUUUUUGUUUUUUUAUAGUUUUUAAAUUAACGCUUUAAUUUACUUAAAUAUUAAUGUAAUAAUUUUUUUUUUUGGUUUCAUAGGUUUACUUUGGAUAAUUGUGUCGGGCGGAGCGUUUCCGACACAAUUAAGAGUCAUUUCGUGGAGCACGUCAAUUGGAGCAAGGUGUCGCAAGAGACGUGCGACACCUGGUACAAGUGCUUCGCGGUAAUAUUUUUAAAAUCUUAUUUAUAUCAUUUUAAAUUGUUUUAAAUUUAAUUAAUCUUACUUUUAUAUUGUUUAUCUAAUUUUUUGUUUUCUUUUGCAGCAACGGUGGAACUGGGACAUCGGGAUCAACGAGACGGUCCGCGAAGCUUUCGAGGAAAAGGCGAAGAAACGCCUAGUCAACACCGUUUCCGAUUGGAAGCGGAAAUGGGAGACCGACGGCGACGACGCAAAGCCGAGCUCCAUGUCCACUUGGUGUUGGAACGGGUUGAAGGCGUAUUGGGUGGACCCGCAUGCCCAAACCACCGCUGCUAAGUGUUCGGCCGUCCGAAACCGGGUCGAUCCGGUGACUGGUGAGAAGUUAGUGAACCCGUACACUUCUGGCCAAAUAUCUUUUACGGGAAGACGUCUCAUGAUGGUAAGUAAUUAAAUAUAAAUUAUUUCAUUAUUAUUUUAAUUUUAUUUAUUGCUAGAAUUAAUUAAAUAUUUUUGACUAAUAAUGUUUAUUAAUUGGUAGGCCGAGGAGAACGGAGGAGAACUACCUCCAAUGACGAAGCUCUUCGAGACCACUCACCGGAAGAAGGACGGGAGCUUUGUCGACGCUCGGUCCGAGGAGAUCUACAAUGCCGCUUGCAGCGGAUCGCCGAGCGGGAGACCCAGGCCACACCUGACGGUACUAUCCAAGUACCGUUGACCGUCGCUGAGCAAGACCAGAUUUUCGAAGAGGUAUGAUAUCUAUUUCAAUUUUUUAAAAAUUUAUUAUAUUUAUAAUUACUUAAUAAAUAAUUAACGUUUUUAUUUUCCAUUUGUAGGUUGCUCCGAAGAAGAAGGGCCGAACCUUAGGGAUGGGCUCUAUUAGAGAUUGUCCUGCCGCCACGGCUUCCGGAUUCCGCACGCAGGAUCCGCAGCUUCGCCAGGAGCUUGCUACGGCCAAUGCUGAGAUCACCAGUCUCAGGCAUGAGCAAAUGGCCCAGAAGCAGGAGCUCACCGAGAUACAUGAUCUCUUCGACAUCAUUGCGGAAGCGGUUCCGCAGUUGGCCACCGCAAUCCGAGCGAGGCAACAGCGAGCACGGAGGGUUUUUGAGACCGGUGGUAAUUCCGGUACUGGACCAUCGGACCACCAGACGCAGGGCGGUCAGUCUUCGGCUCCGGUCUCAGCAGCGACGGGCGGUCAGACUUCGGCUCCGGUAGUGCAUACGGGAAACGUCGGCCUAGCAGCGACGGGCGGCCAAGACGGAGAGCCUCCUCGUGACGUCGAUCUCAACCUCGACGAUUACGACAUCAUUGUAUAGAUUAGGUUUUUUUGUAAAAAACAAUUUGUAUUAAUUUUUUUUAUUUAUAAAUUAUUUUUGAAUUUAAAUUUCAAUUUAAAUUCAAAUUUUUUCUAUUUUUAAUUUUUUGAUUAUUUUAAAAAUUCAUUAAUUAAAUAAAAUCGAAUUAAAUAAUUAAUUUAUAAAUCGACGUAAAUUCGUCGUAAAUUUACGUCGAUUUACCGUCGAAUAUUUAACGACGAAUUUACGACGAAUAAGUUUACGUCGGCUUUACGUCGAAACUUUACGACGAUUUAACAUCGACAAUUAAAAAUUUAGUUUCCCUUAAUUGAAAUUGUUCGUCUCCUAAUCGUUGUUAAAUCGAUGUAAUUUUACAUCGAUUUAACGUUGUUUUUAUGAUGGAGUUCUUUCGUUGUACAUCCGUUGGAAAUUUUACGACGCAUUUACGACGAAUUGUUCCCGACGAUUUUACGACAAUUUUCCGGAGUUGGUAAUUUUACGACGAUUUUACGACGAUUUCGGUUUUACGACGAUCGUUUUACGACGAUUUUUAAUUUGUCGUUAAUCCGACGUAAAUGCUCUUUUACGUCGAUUUUACGUCGAUAUCUGCCGACGUAAAAGCCGAUCUUUCUUGUAGUGAAGACCCAAGACCCAAGACCCAAGACCCGAGCCCGGCUCGGCUCGGCGGCGGCGGCGGCGCGCGAGGGGUCCUUGGUUCUCCUUCACACACUUUGAACUAUGUCAUGUGUGUGUCUAUAUUUAUAUGACUAGAAAAUUUUCCAAUCCUCCAAUGUGGGACAAAAUGAUGUUCCUCACAAUUUAAGUUGCCUUGAAGGGCUUUAUUUUUAUUCACACUUGACCAAAUUUUAAAGCCUUUGGGCUUUGUAAUAAUUUGGGUCCAACAAUCCCCCACAUGAAUAGAAAUAACUCUAGACAUACGACCGGACUGACUCGAAGACUGGACUCGACUAGACUAAACUAAACGGACUUUCGAGAGUAUAAACGAAAAUUCCACUGUGUUUGAGAUAGUAGUAUGUUUCAACCUUGAACCACUCAAUGUUAAUAUCUGUCGGGCUUACUCAGCUAGAAGGUGAACAUGAUGUCUUGAACCACCCGAAUUUUGAUGUAAACCGAGACAACAAAUACAACUCAGUUUCAUUUUCUCGUAGAACUAUGUUCUCUAUUGUGUUCAUUUUGGCCUUGAACUUGCCUGGUUAAUCAUGAGUGAAGUUGGAGAAUAUAGCCUUUUGUUUUUCCAUUCUCAUAGAAACGGCCCCAUUUCACACUCACUAGGUGAUUUGCCAGUAGUCUUUGUUUUAAGAAGUGUUGUACUUCACUGAUAUAUCAAAGCUACGGUCUUCUCAUUAACAGCUUUGCUUAUCCUUUGAAAAUAUACAAUGAAAAUUGUAUGUAAGCACUGUCAAUCAUCUUGGGACCUAGGUUAAGACUAUACGUCUUUCAGUGCUUUAGAUUUUGUUUGAUUUAGUUUUCCCUUUUGAACCAUACAUCUUGAGAUCUCCAGUCAUGUAGGUGGGGUUUCCAUCAAACAACCUCUUUAGUCAUAGGCUUUAAACCCAUUCCCUUUGACGAUUUGAGAACUUGAUCACGAGCUAGACCCUUAGUGAAUGGAUCUGCUAGAUUAUCAGCUGAUUUUAUGUAAUCUAGUGAGAUUACUCCGGUUGUGAUCAAGCUUCUAAUGGAUUUAUGUCGCUUUCUUAUGUGACGAGAUUUACCAUUAUAGAGAUUAUUUAGUGCCCGGGCGAUAGCUGAUUGACUAUCACAGUGUACACGUAUUGCCGGGACUGGUUUCUCCCACAUUGGAAUAUCUUCCAAGAAAUUUCGGAGUCAUUCGGCCUCCUCUGCAGCUUUAUCUAAAGCUAUAAAUUCAGACUCCAUGGUUGAUCGGGCCAGUAGAGUUUGUUUGGAAGACUUCCAAGAGACUGCUGCACCAGCAAGGGUAAAGACAUAUCCACUUGUGGAUUUUGAGUUUUUGGUGUCAGAUAUCCAGUUUGCAUCACUGUAUCCUUCCAAAACUGCGGGUUCUCUCCCAUAGUGCAGCCCAUAACUUUUAGUGUAUCGAAUGUAAUUUAAUACUCUAGUUAUGGCUUUCCAGUGUUUGUGUCCUGGAUUAUUUGUAUAGCGACUAAGUACAUUUACCGCGUGUGCUAGAUCAGGUCUAGUACAAUUGGUUAAGUACAUAAGGCUACCAAUUAUCCUUGCAUACUCGACUUGUGACACUGCUUCACCUGAGUUUUUGGUCAAGUGAAGUUGAGAGUCAACAGGAGUUUUUGCAGUUCCAUUUGAAUAGGUUUUAAACCGUUCAAGUAUCUUUUCAGCAUAAUGUGCUUGAGACAAGGUAAUCCCAUCAGAAGUUCUUGUGAUUUGUACCCCAAGAAUGACAUCUGCUAGACCCAUGUCUUUCAUGUCAAACUGUGCACUAAGCAUAUUCUUAGUUUGUUGGAUUAUGUCAUUAUUGCUGCCAAUAAUUAACAUGUCAUCUACAUAUAAACAUAGUAGGAUAUAUCCAUUAGGGGUCGUUUUUAUGUAAAUGCAUUUAUCACAUUCGUUUAUGCUGAAGCCAUCUGACAUCAUCGCAUUGUCAUAUUUUUCAUGCCAUUGUUUUGGUGCUUGUUUAAGUCCAUACAACGACUUCACAAGUCUACAGACUUUGUGUUCUUGUCCCGGGACUACAAAUCCUUCGGGUUGUUUCAUAUAGAUUUCCUCGUCUAAUUCACCGUUUAGAAAGGCUGUUUUGACGUCCAUCUGGUGGAUUUCCAAAUUUCGUAAGGCUGCAAUUCCAAUCAGCAUUCUGAUGGAAGUUAUUCUCAUUACUGGAGAAUAAGUGUCAAAGAAAUCCAGACCUUCUUUUUGUCGGAAUCCUUGCACUACAAGUCUAGCCUUAUAUUUAUCAACUGAGCCAUCGGUCUUCAAUUUCGUUUUGAAGAUCCAUUUACACCCUAGAGCUUUAAACCCUUCAGGUAACUCAGUGAUUUCAUAAGUAUGAUUCCGUCUAAUGGAAUCCAUCUCACUAUUGACUGCUUCCUCCCAAAGAGGUGCAUCGGGAGUGGACAUAGCUUCAGUAAAUGUUCUUGGUUCGUUUUCGGUGAGAAAGACCAUCAAGAACUCAGGACCGAAGGAUUUUUCCUUACGAGCUCUUUUGCUGCGUCUAGGUUCUAUCUCUUCGUCUUCUGAAGCAGGAACCCCAGAUGUGGUUGCCACAUCUUCCAGAGGACGUUUUAGAUUUUGUCUAUCCUUGCACGGGAAAAUGUGUUCAAAAAAUGAAACAUUUCUUGAUUCCAUUAUUGUAUUCACCUGAAUAUCGGGUACAUCUAAUUUGUGAACCAGAAACCGAUAAGCACUACUGUUGCGUGCAUAUCCAAUGAAAAUACAAUCAACAGUUUUUGGUCCUAUGGUGACCUUUUUAGGUGGUGGCACAGCGACCUUUGCUAAGCACCCCCACACUCUCAUGUAUUUGUACGAAGGUACUCUACCUGUCCAUAGUUCAUAUGGCGUUUUGCCAGUUACUUUGUGCGGUAUUUUGUUGAGGAUAUAGUUUGUAGUGAGAAUUGCUUCCCCCCACAGAUUCUGGGGUAGCCCAGAUUCCUGCAACAUUGCAUUCAUCAUCUCUUUAAGAGUUUGAUUUUUGCGUUCCGCAAUUCCAUUAGAUUCUGGUGAGUAGGGAGCGGUGGUCUGAUGUAUAAUGCCUUUUUCUAGACAGAAAACAUUGAAUGGACCAUCAUAUUCGCCUCCUCUAUCACUCCUAACAAUUUUAAUAGUUUUACCGAGUUGAUUUUCAACUUCGAUUUUAUAUUCUUUGAAUUUCUCCAAGACUUCAUCUUUACUUCUUAGUAAAUAGAUGUAACAGUAUCUUGUACAAUCAUCAAUGAAAGUUACAAAAUACUUCUUACCUCCUCUAGAUUUUACUAACUUUAAGUCGCACAAAUCUGUGUGUAUGAGGCCUAGAGGUUCGGUAGUUCGAUCGACAUGAGGAGAUGGAGUUUUUGUGAGUUUUUGUACGCAUGUCUCACAUUUAUUUUUGCUUAUUUUGCAUUUGGGGAUUAAGUUCGAAUUUAUUAAUCUUUGUAUAGAUUUAUAAUUCACAUGUCCUAAUCGUUCAUGCCAUAAAUCAAAAGACUCAACCAAGUAAGAAGAUUCAUUCUUAUUAAUUGACCUGGUAGAAGGUACAUCAUUUUUGAGGACAGUCAUUACACACAUUUUGAUUAAGUCCUCCUUAACAUAACCCUUCCCAAUAAAAACCCCAUGUUUCCUUAAAAUCAGCUGGUUAGAUCCAAUGCGGACGUCGAAUCCGUGCUUGUUGAUCAUGGUUCCAGAGAUCAGGUUUUUCCUCAUUUUUGGCACAUGCUUCACAUUGGUGAGGGUGACUUCUUUUCCCGAAGUCAUCUUUAAGACCACAUUGCCUAUGCCUUCAAUCUUGGAGUAUGACUCAUUUCCCAUCAACAAGUGCGCAUUGUUCUUGCAUUUCUUGUAGGUUGAGAACUGGUCUUUGUCCAUGCAGAUGUGAGUGGUUGCACCAGUGUCAUACCACCACGUUUUUGGGUUUGGCUCAACCAUGUUGACUUCUGUGACCAUUGCACACAGAUCAGCUUGAGUCAAGUUGGCUUGUCCUUUGUUGUCCCUCAGCCUGCUUCGACAUUCAUUGGAGGUGUGGCCCUUCUUGUUGCAAUAGGUGCACUUCCCAACAAAUUUGGUUUUGGGAGUUUCCUUUUUGAAGGAAGUGGAUGAUGAUGGAGCAAACUUGUUUUGCCUUCCUUUGGGAGGAAAUUUCCCGUUGCCUUUGACUUUCCCUUUUCCCUUGUUCUUGAACUCUGCUACAUUUGCAUUGUAGGAGUGAAAUGGUUCAGGGUUGACAGGCGUGGCAGCUUUUACCUCGCGUUUCAAAGACUCAUUUUGCAGCCUGGAAAUCAGAUUUGACAAGGUCAUAGACUUCUGCUUAUGAUCCAGAUAGUUUCUGAAGUCUGCCCAGCUAGGAGGUAGCUUGUCGACGAAGCAAUUCACUAUGAAGGUUUCACAGAUCUUCAUUCCUUCAUCAGCGAUUUCUUGACAAAUCAUCUGAAGUUCAUGGACUUGUUCCAUGAUGGGCCUUGAGUCCACCAUCAUGUACCUCGUAAAUUUGGAGGUUGCAUACCUUCCAGAGGAUACAUUGAAAGUCUUGUACUUCUUAUCCAAAGCUUCCCAGAGAUCCUUGGACGACUUGAUUUCGCAAUAGACAUUGAACAAUUGGUCAACCAAGCGGCUCUGGAUGUAGCCUUUGCAAAGGAAGUCCCCAUGGACCCAUGCUUCAACGCUUGCAACAGCACGCACAUCAGUAUUCCCAGUGGGCAAAGCAGGUUUGUCCUCGGUGAGAUACCUAUCCAAAUGCAGAGUGCACAGGAAAAAGUGCAUCUUUUGCUGCCACUGUUUGAAGUUGGUACCAUCAAACUUAUCCGGUGAGAUACCUGCAGCAAUAGCGCUGGGUAAAUUCGGAAUGUUUGUGGGUAGGGAUCCGAGUGCUGCACCUCCAACCGCUAAGGGUGUUGAUUCAGCGACAUCCUCUUGUCUUCCAUCAACGGAUUUCUCCACAUUUUUCGACAUCUGUUCCAAACGAGACAGGAAAAAAAAUGUCAGAUUCGUUGAAUAGAAUCGAUAGAAUAGCGAUUAAAAUAAGAGUCGCUAAUUUAUGCGUUCUGCGGAAACGCUAUAGAGCGGCCGUAGAAUCGCGUUUGAGUUUUGAACUCGAAAAGACGUUCACGGAUUUAACCGAGACGAUUUACAGACGCGGAAAGGAAGUUAUAAAAACUGUCCUUGUGUGGUCCAAUAGCGUUUCGCGUAACUUGCCAAAGGCCUUCGCGGAAACGGUUUCUUGUUAUAAAAAAAAAUCGUUUUUUCCUUAAAAACGUUUUCUGAAAAUCGUUUGUAUAGCAAUAUAGGAUCCGAUUCAAGCGAUAAGCAGGAUCGGAUUAUUUUGAAUUAAGACUGUAGGAAGUAAAUUUAGAGGAGACAAAUAUUGCAAUGUAAGAAAACGAUUUGAGAUACAGAAAAACGUUUUAUGAAAGCGGAUUAAGGAAAAACGAGAAGUGGAGGCGAGAUGAUCUCUUUCCUUAAUUCAAAAUAUCUCCCGCAGUGUGGCGGUUGGAUGAGAUAUAGAAUCCCAGGAUACAACCACUAGUAUUCGUAUAAUCGCAGCACCCGAUUAUAGAAUGUGACGAACUGAUAUUCUACGAUAUACUCUCGGACACUUACUCUUGAAAGAAGAAAGGAGACGCGAGAGAUUUGAAGGAAAAAUGUGAAUGAUUUUUCUCUGUAAAUUUUCUGUAGAGAGCGAUCAAAAUUGGAAGAGGAAAAGUCGAUAUAUGUAGCAAAGGAGAGAGGAUCGUCGCACUUAAUCAGCGUGUUAAUGACGAGAUUAAUUUUGCGCUAAUGAUGUGAUUUGGGCGUUUAUCUUGGCGUGAUUUUCGGGAGAGACAUUUGACUGCAGUUUAAUGUCGUGAUUCUGUUAAGAAUUUGAACCGAAAACUUUAGCAAUUUGGGCCAGAAAUGUUGACCAAAACGAGGCCCAAAAAGAACAUCUUUUGUGGGCCGAAGACCCACAUUCACCAAGACCCAAGACCCGAGCCCGAGACCGAGCCCGGCUCGGCUCGGCGGCGGCGGCGGCGUGCGAGGGAUCCUUGGUUCUCCUUCACACACUUUGAACUAUGUCAUGUGUGUGUCUAUAUUUAUAUGACUAGAAAAUUUUCCAAUCCUCCAAUGUGGGACAAAAUGAUGUUCCUCACAAUUUAAGUUGCCUUGAAGGGCUUUAUUUUUAUUCACACUUGACCAAAUUUUAAAGCCUUUGGGCUUUGUAAUAAUUUGGGUCCAACAAUUGUUAAAUUAGCAGCAUGUUCUAUAUGUAGUAGAUUGGUUGGUAAAGUAAAUCAGUCAUAGUCAGUGAAGACCUAAGGUAAAUUCAUUUUCUAAAAUCAAAAACAUUUAUUAUGAUAGAUAUUUGGCUAGUGGUAUAUGCUCGUAUUCAUAUAAUAAUUGAAUGAUGUUUGUAUACAUGCCAGUCGUCCUCAUUUCAUUUUCUAAACCAAAACCAUUUAUGAUCAACGAGAUUUUGGUUUGUAUAUGCUGAAUUCCAUAAGCGGAUGCCUCCAGAAGCCAUUGACCUUGCAUCUCGGCUUCUACAAUAUUCACCGAGUCUACGUUGCACUGCGGUCAGUAUCUCUACUAUACACGACCAAGUAUUUGUUGGAAUAAGCUUGAAGAAACUUGAAGUGUAAGUUUCCUAAUCCUAAUCAAAGUGUGUUUUAUAGAAGGUUAGGAUUAGAAAAGAAAAUUUAGGAGUUAUCUAAAUAAGAAAUUUGUUUCUCUAUUGGAAUUAGGAGUUAGCUAUUUUAUUCUCUAUAUAAGAGUUGCCAAAGUUGUGGUAAACCUUAUGAGUUGAAAGAAAUAUUAAGAGAGGUUUUAGUUUUUGAGUGAUUUUUCUAAAGCUAAUAAAAGAAGUUGCUUUUAUUCAUACUUGAUCUAAGUCUCAAUUCUAUAACUGGUAUUGUUGGGGUCGGUUUCAUCCCAAUCGGUUUAAACCAUCUCAAGAACAUUGGAGAGCCGAUCCGACAAGGAGAACCGGUGACCUGUCGAAAAUGGGCCGAGCCCCACAGAAGAAGGCCAAGCUCAAGUGGGCCGAGCCGUGAGGUGAAAAUGGGUGAGCCGCGUAUGAGAGCAGACGGGCCGAGAUGUGUCGUGAGGUAUGGGCUGAGCUGCACUUAACAUGAUUGGACCGAGUCGCGCCUCGGCGAGUUAGGCCAAGUCGCGUCUCAACUCGAAUGGCAAGUGGGCCGAGCCGUAGAGAAGGUUAGAUGGGCCGAGCUGUGAGAAGAAUGGUGAGCAGGCCUAGCAGCGCGAGAGGAGGCAUGGGCCGAAUCGCUUCCCUGUGUGUUGGGUCGAGCCGGUUUUCCAAGAUGGGCCGAACCAAGGCUUUAGAAGACGAAAGCCCACAGAAUUCCUAGGCGAAGUAUUAUGACGGUGGCCACACGAAGCGAUAAGGAAAUAUACCUAAAAUCUCUCCCAAGAUUCUCGAAAGAGGCGUUUUAAGAAAUUAGUAUAAAUAGGAGAUUUCUACGAUUCAUUAUAUAACUUUUGCCACCCUAAGCAAUAAGACCUAAACACUUUAACAGCAAUAAAAAUCCUCUUUUGAUCUUACUGUUCUUGCGAUUACCCUAGAAGUUUCGGAUCCCUUAGUUUUUCUCUUACAAAUUUUUGGUUGUGUGAGUUUUGGCUCACACAAUUUGGCGCCGACUGUGGGGAACAUCGAAACUUUCUUACUCUAAACCGAAAAGACUUUAAGAUCCGAAGAACAUGGCGAGCAAUACCCCCGACGAUAACCACAACAACAGAAACAAUGGUAACGGCGCGGAGAAGGACGCUCUGGCAUCAGGCACAACGACGGCAGCGACCGAAACCCAAGAGGAGAUGCGAAACAUGAUGGCCGCGUUGAUGAGGAAAAUCGACGAGGAGGACAAACGAAACGAGGCGAUUACGGAGAGGCUCGACGCGAUGGCGGCUGAGCGACAACACCCAACCUGGAGAGCUGGAAUUCCCGACCCAAUGGAUGGAAUCCGGAGACGCUUCAACUUUUCAACGCCUGCAGAGGCCUCUGGGAGCGGCGCAAGAAACCCCUUGGUUCGCCCAAUGUUUCGUCCCCUCGGCGAACAGACUCCCGCGGCAACCCGAGUCAACAUGACUGAGCCGCCUCCACUCCGUCGGAACUCAAGGCGACGAGCCGGCGAGGAGGAGAAUGACGCGAUUGACGUGGACGCCCAGCAGAACGAUGGAACCACGAAUCCGCAACAAAAUGGCUCGGCUCGGCGGAUAAGCUAAGAAGAGCUCGCCUCGGCACUAAACGGCGUCCGGACUGACGAAGUCUCCGAUCCGACUCACGGCGACAACCCGACUGAAGAAGAAGAAAAUCUCCAAUGGAUCGAGCAGGUGAAGCGCGAAGACGAGCCGAGGAGAGAAGAGUAGGAGCGACUCCCCCAAUCAAAAGGAAUGACUCACGCGCAAACUCUCGAACUCAAAGAGUUGCGAGCCUCAAUGGCUCGGACAGUAGCUGAAAUACGCGCCAUGAAGUCUCAAGUGCACAACGCAACGAGUGCUGCGCCCGAGAUCGACCGGAUGCUUGAAGAAACUCAGAGAACUCCAUUCACGGCAAGAAUCACGGAGGCAAGGAUUCCCGAGCCCGGAAAAGUGAGAAUCCUGUUCUACGAAGGAACAACCGAUCCGAAAGCACACAUCACAGCGUUUCGGAUAGCAAUGGGACGAGCCUUCACAAAGAACGCUGCCAAACUGACCGAGCGGGAAGUAGAUGCCAGAUACUGCCUGCUCUUCGUGGAGCAUCUUAAGGGAGCCGCACUCGAGUGGUUUUCGAGGCAGGAACGCAACUCCAUCGGCAGCUUUCAACAGCUCUCUGCCUUGUUCCUUAAACAAUACUCGAUGUUUAUGGAUAGAGGAACGUCUGAUGCCGACCUGUGGACACUAUCCCAAGGACCGAACGAACCACUUCGAGAUUACAUGGCAAGAUUCAAGGCAGUCGUAUCCAAAACAGAAGGGAUAAGCGACAAGGCUGCACUCGAAGCUCUGAAACAAUCUUUGUGGUACAAAUCCGAGUUCCGACAGGAGAUGGCACUCAACACACCCCAAACAAUUCAAGACGCUUUGCACCGGUCAUCAGACUUUGUCGUAAACGAGGAGGAGAUGAAAAAUUUGGACGAGCAGUACGAAGCAACGAAAGCAGCAAUCCGAAGCUCAAUUUUGACGGGCCCCUCGAAGAAAGGCGACCCAUCGAACAACACAACAACGCAGAGCUCGGACGAACCUAGAAGCGGAGGUGCCCAUAACUACCAGGUAGGCACCGGACGCGGAAGAGGAGAGCCGCGCAACAACACUUGGGUAAGAAAGUCUGCUAACUACGACGAGAAGGCUUUCUGCGAAUAUCACCAGACCUACAGGCACUCAACGACACAAUGCCGAACGUUAGCAGCAAAACUCGCGGCUAAGAUGGCAGCGGGAGAGCUCCAAAACGCGGUCAACCUCAAAGACCUCGUCCCUAAUGAACCACAAGAAAGAGCCGAGCCGAGCGGCGCGGCUGAACCCGCAAAUCCUCCCCGACAAGGCGAUAACUCCAAGCGUGACAGGAGAGGCGAACCUGAAGAGCGACCCAAGCCGAGGCAAAUGAUCAAUAUGAUCAUGGGAGGAUCUCAAUACUACCAAGAUAUCGUGUCCUCCAUCAAAGCCUAUCAGCGCCGAGCCGAAGCGAAGGAGAAUUGGACAGAACCAACCGACAUCCUAAAUACAGUGAUCUCCUUCGCCGAGGAGGAAACGGCAGGAAUCGAUAGACCCCACAACGAUCCAUUGGUGAUUGAGUUAACAAUCAGGGAUCAUGACGUAGCGAGGGUGCUCAUCGAUAUUGGAAGCUCGGUGAACGUCAUCUUCAGGGACACACUCAGAAGAAUGGGAAUCGACCUCUCCGAGGUGGAAGCAAUCCCCAAACGUCUAACCGGAUUUUCAGGAGAAACGACGAUGACUAUGGGAACGAUCAGGCUCCCUGUGGUAGCUGGCGGAGUCACGAAGAUCGUUGAAUUCUGCGUCACCGAUCACCCAACAAUCUAAAAUGUGAUUAUGGGAACUCCAUGGAUCAACGGAAUGAGGGUGGUCCCCUCCACCUAUCAUCUCUGUCUCAAGUUCCCGACUCCAGCGGGUGUCAAAAUGAUCUGGGGGAAUCAGAAGGAGUCACGAAUGUGCUGCCUAGCAUAGCACAAGCUGAGGAACCCCGUCACCGACGCACGAGCAGACAUAGAUCGCAAAAAGAUGAAGACAGACCGAGAGCCUGCGAACAAGCUCUUGAAACUCUUAUAGCACUUACAGAUCGCGGAGAGCCGCAAAACACGCGCCGAGCCGGUAUGUGAUGCGGUGGACUCGGUGUGCAUAGACGAGGCGCGUCCGGAGUGAUGCGUCAAAAUUGGAGCAAAACUAGAAGAGCCUCUGAGAAGCAAACUCCUUUCCCUCCUCAAGGAGAACAUCAACACUUAUGCCUGGACAGCGGAAGAUAUGCCAGGCAUAAGCAUCGACGUGACCUGUCACGAGCUGAACGUGGACCCGACCUUUUGAUGUGCUCGUGUCAACUACGUGAGGGAACAAGUUUUACCCUUAACAAGACAAAUGAAAGCCGCAAGUGCACAGCGAAUCAGUUGUAGUAUUUAGGGAUCAAAUCCACAGAGAUUUGUGUACCUGGUAUUCUUCUACGGUUUUUAACUUUAUGUCUAGACUAAAUUGGUUUUAAAGGUUAGUUGUUUUUCUUGCGAAUUAAACUAAAACAAAAGAAAGCAAAUAAAUAUAUCCUAAAAAACAGGUAAGAAAAUCGAAUGAAAUGCAAUUAGAAUAGGCAAAUAUCGAAUGAAAGACUAAUAAGGCAAGUAAGAUAUCGCAUGAAAAGUAAAUAAAGCAAGUAAAUAAUGAACUAAGAAAAUUGAAAUGCAGGUCUAAAAAAGCAAGUAAAAAUCGAUGGAAUUGUAAACUAUGGCUAAAAACGCUGAGCUUUUGGGAACUCUAAGGGAUCAUAAUCGGUUUUAACACUAAGGUAGAUAGAUUGGGAUUGACAGAUAACGAUAUAUGGGUUCUAGAGCUAGAGUACGGCGGUAUGACUACGUCACUGUCGUGAUCAUAACCAACAGUUUCUCGCAACCCUGACCAGUAGGUUUCCACUCUGGCCCUGGAAGGGAGAGAACGCAAGAGCUGCACAAGACUCGUCAAUACUCACGAUCUCGCCGCAGGUAGGUUUCCACUCCUACGGAAAAAUCGCCUGUUUCAUUCUAGGGCUGAUACUUAAUGAAAACUUUCGCAACACUAACUAUCUAGAUCAGAUACUAGGUGAUCAAUCAAGCAUACAUGCAAUAAGAACAAGAAUAAACAGAGAACAGGUCGAAAUCCCAGAUCUAUAAACCUAGAUGUCUUAAUCGAUUAUGAGAGCCCCUUUCGGGAACCCUAAGCCCAACUCGGGAUCUACUCAGACAUGGCUGAGUUCGAAAUCAUCAUUGGUUUUAAUAUAAGUAAUGAAAAACAGUAAAGAAAAGAGAUAAAGAAAGCUUCUCUAUUGAAGAACUCGGACUUGAACAAUCUUCUACAAAAAUCUCAUAAAAACGGCUAAAGGAAAAGGGUUUAUGUAAAGUAUGAAGGGUUCUCCUUAAAAACGACCUAAAUGACAUGUAUUUAUAGUCUCCAAUACUCUAUGGUCUCUAGGGUUCCAGAAUUGAGGCUGAGAAUGACUUUGGGCUUCAGAUAAGUGGGCUUUAACUCGGAGAUUGAUUGCCGCAGUCGGGAGUGUUGUGACCGUGGCAAUUGGCUUGUUGGCCGCGGUCGGGAAGCUUCUGACCGCGGCAAAUAGCUUGUUGGCCGCGGUCGGGUGAGUUGUUGACCGACUUCGAAUGGCUCCGGGGCUAAUGAAAUAUCUUGAGAUCCAACCAUUGGAAUGUCUCCAAACCAAGUGAAUUUGAAAGCUGGUUGAUUCUUCUAUAAGUUGUCCAAUUUUGAGGGUGAUCAGACGGUGAGAAGGUCUUCGUCUCUCCAUGAGAGUUCUGACGGUCUGCAUUUAUCCAAAAGAGUCUUUUUGUUCCAUUUUGUGCCUCUUUAUCCCAAAUUACCUGAAAAGUCUUUUAAAAUCUGGAAACAUAGAAAUCCUUUGAAAACCUUUGAAAAUGGAGUAAAAACACCUGUAAAAGAUAUUAAAAUGAUCCAUAAAAAUGGUCAAAAUCCGGUGUUAUCAACUCUUCCAGACUUAGUCUUUUGUUUGUCCUCAAAGAAAAUAAGGCUAAAUCUCGGCGAGAGGUUUGAAAACGCAGGAACUAAACAAAAUCUCAGAGACCAAACUUCUAGACCAAUAUCAAUCAGUAUGCAUCAAUAGGAAUAGCCUAGAAAAUUCUCACUAGCAAUACAGGCAUAACUAGUCCGUUAAUCCGUCAUGCAGAAAUCUAUGCACUAAGAUCUAACUUCCAGUCAACUAGCUCUUAACAUUCAUUAAAAAUCUCGGUGGUUCUCAUCAAAGAAAAUCUAGGCAAGGCGAUCUAGGCUAGGUGUCAAGAAGGAUUAUUUUGGGGGGUAAGGCUUAAAGUGUUUACGGGUUACCUGAAGAUUUGGAGGAUGCAGGAUAUUAUGCAAAACCGCAAGAGAGAGUGAAGCUAUUGGUAUCCACAGUUUUCAGUUGGUGAGAAGAUGGAGAAUAAAAGCGAAAUAAAAUAAAAUAAAAAGAAAAGAAAAUGAUGAUAGAACCGUGAUGGUAGUGAAGUGCUGAUCAAUCACUCAUCCUCCGAAGUGUCGUCUGCGAACUGGUUUCGUCCAUUUUCUGCAAAAUGAAAUGAUUCUUGGAAAAAGAGUUAAUAUGGAUGCUGAUUUUAACACAUUAAGAUUUGUUACACUAAUACUAGCAUAAAGAGAUUAAUUAAAACCAUGAGCAAACAAAAUUGAUAUUGAAUCAGAGAAAUCAAGUAGUUCAUGACUAAAUUCGGAUUUUUGAUGUUCUUAACAUAGAAAUCUUCUAAAAAUCGGUUUUGAUGAGCAAUUUCCAUGUAAAAUUCUAAAGAUUACCCAAUACUAAUCACUAAUCACACAAGACUAAAUCAAAUUCAUCAAUUUUGCUGUUCCAAAUUCGAUUUUUAUUAAGCAUGUAGAAUCCAAAUUUCAAAAAUCUCAAUUUCUCUUAAGCUAAGUGCUAAAUCGAUUUUUAGAUAACCUAAAUGGAUAAUGUAUCAUUCUUAAGCUAUUUCCACCAUCAAUAGACCAAGAUUUUGGGUUUUUAAAGAAAACCCUAAGUUCAAAUCGAGUAAGAAUGGUGAAUUUGAGGUUCAUACCUUGCUGGAAAGAGAGAAUUGAUGGCAGAAUUGAAAUCAGCUUUGAAAAAGAGUGAGGUUUGAGCCAAAAAUCUCUUAAAAAGCUUAAGAAUUGAAAAAUGUGUUCUUUCUCCUAGAUCUUUAAGUCUUUUGGAAGAGAGGAGAAGAAAGAGUUUUGAUCCAAAAAGUUUGUUUCUUUUCUUUAAAAAGCAUUUUUGAAGCAAAAACGAAAAAUUUCUGGAAAUUUUUAAGUUUAUGGGAACUUACCUUUUCUUGUUUGCACAUUAGGAAAGUUCAAAACUUACGGAGGAUCUUUUCGGGUUUUACCGGGAACAUUUCGGGAAACACCGGGAAUCACCAGGCAACACCGGGAAAUACCGAAAAAGGCAGAAAUCCGCGGCAUCACCUCAACGACCAACGGCCGCGGUCAGGAGACGCGCGACCGCGGUGAUUGAGGGCUCGGCCGCGGUCAUGUUCACGGUGCCGCGGUCGACGCACCCUUGGCCACGGGUCGAACGGUCGCCACCGCGGCUCUUCCUCCUGCGGCCUAUUGUCCAAUCUUCUAGUCUUUGCCGGGCCGAGCGGCUAAAAACCUACCUUUUCUUCUUGGUUUUUCUAAUUUUCUGAUUUUUUUGUGUUUUUGUUUUAUAACAUACCUAAAACUUAAAAAGAAAAAGAAAGCAUAAAUUGUAAAAAGGAAAAGAAAACUAAAAGAAAGAGUACCUAAAUGGGUUGCUUCCCAUUAAGCGCUUUUGUUUUAAGUCGUUUAGCUCGACGUAAGCAUGAGGAAUCAGGCUGAUUUGAAUGGCACUCCACUUGAUGUGCCUUUAUCACUUCCGGUUGCUGGAGGUUUUACUUCUUCUCCUUGAGGAGAAGUCUUCUUACCUUUACUCUUCUUUCGGACUUUAAUGUUGUUCAGAACCCUUUUUGUGUUUUUGAUCAGCUCCUGGAUUUGGUCCUCACUAGUUUCUGUUGCAUCUGGUGGAAUGAUGAUCUUGAUCUUUGCAAAAGCUUUCGGCUUCUCCUUUUCUUUCUCUUUUGGCAUGUUUCCUUUGCUUGGAAAUUCUUCUAAGAUAGUAGGAUAGUACAUUUUUCUGUCCACAUUGAGGAAAACAGCAUGCCGGUUUGCGUGAUCGAUAAUUGCUCCUACUGUAGCUAGGAAUGGUCUCCCGAAAAUGAGUGGCCUCUCCAUGUCUUUAUCCAUCUCUAGGACUUGGAAAUCUGCUGGAACAGUCUUAUCUCCCACUAGAACUUGUAGAUCGUGAAUCGCCCCUUCAGUAUCUUUUUGAGAUAAAUCUCCAAAGAUAACCUUAACCGUCGAUGUCCUUAAGGUUUUUAUGCCCAAUUUUUCGGCAAAUGUCUUAGACAUGAUGUUGACAUUGGCUCCGGAAUCGCACAAGCAGUCUGUAAACUUGAUUCCUGAAAUGAAACACUGGAAAACAAAACGUCCCGGAUCAUCGGCUUUGGUAAGCCUUUGAAACGGUGAUAGUUCAGGUACCUUAAACGGUGGCUGCUUGGGAUCGAUAUCCUUGUACAGCGGUACAAAGAUUGGGGUUUCUUCUUUCUUUCCAUCGGUUCCGGCCUCUUCUUCGGGCAAUGUGGUUAUGGCGUUGCAAAACUUCUUAGCGUUAUCUUCAACUCUUCCUGGAAGAACUCCACUUUUCCUCUUCAUAGAGUCGGCCGUUUGGGCGACUUGCACAUCUAAUUUUUUUACGUGCGAAGAUAAAGAUUCAAACUUACCAUUCAGAUCAUUGUACAUGCAGACCACUUUCACGUUCACGUCUUUAGAUGCUUUUUCGUUCGUCAUAACGAGCUGUUGGAUUGACUGUUCAAGUCUACCGAUUUGUGAAGCUAGCUGGUUCGUCGUGACUCCCUGCUGUUGUACAAAUUGAUUGUUAAAACCCGUACCUUGGUAGUUAUAUGGCUGUCGCGGUUGAUAUGGUACUAUUCCUCCAAAGUUUCCACCUUGAAACUUGUUUUGGAAGGAUUUUUGCUGAGGUGGGUAGUACUGAUCUUGAGGAUUCUCCACAUUUGGAUUGCGGUAAGAGAGAUUGUUGUAAUUUGCAUUCCGGAAGUUGUUGUUGAAGUUGUUGUUGGAGCGAUUUUGGUAUGGCAUUAGUGCUCCUACGUAGUUCACAUCUUCUUCUUGAAAUGCUUGAUUAAUGUGAUCGAUAUCACUAGGUCCUUCCUCUUCUGCGCCAUUUUUGGUUUCACAGGCAUGGAUCGGGCGAUUGUUGCUCUUCAGAAGCUGGUUCACCAUGUUCUUCAACUCGGUUAUCUCCUUGUUGUCUGUUCCGGAUUGCUUCAUCGAUCGAUCGUAUUCAGGACAGUCAUUGCUAUUGGCUUGAGCCAAAUUUUCGAUGAGAGCUCUUCCUUGGGUUAUCGUCUUUUGCCCAAAAUCUCCAUUGCUAGCUGUAUCAAGUGAAAGUUUGUAUUUUGGUUGCAAACCUCGAUAAAAUGUGCUUAGCAGGCUUGAUCCAUGAAAUCCAUGGUGAGGAGUCACGUUCAUAUUCCUUAAAACGUUCCCAAGCUUCAUAGAAAGAUUCAGUUGGCCCUUGUUGAAAGGUUGAGAUCUUCGUUCUCAAAUUGUUCGACCUUGACUUAGUGUAGAAGUGGUUUAGGAAAGCAGUUCUACAUUCUUCCCAAUUGGUAAUCGAUCCUGCAGGCAAAGACUUCAACCAACGGUGAGCUUUAUCUGCUAAUGAAAAAGGGAACAACUUACACUUUAAAUAGUCAGGUGGAACUUGGUUUGUUCUCAUCAUGCUGCAAAUUUCUUCAAAAAGCUCGAUAUGGUCCAUUGGGUGCUCAGAAGGAACUCCAUGGAACUGGUUUUGCUUCACCAAUGAGAUGAUUUGAGGCUUGACUUCAAACUCAUUCCGGUUUGGAAAUGGUACUUGAAUCGCAGAUCGAUUCUGAAAAUUUUGAGUAUGUGCAUCAAAAUCAGCUAUGCGAUGGUUCUUGGCUUGUCUUUGGUGUUGAUUUGCUGGCGGAAUGGGGCGGUGAAUGCGUUUAUUCGGCUGCAUUGCUGGGUGGUCACCAUCGGCUGCAUUGAUGGGUGGAUCAAGGUCUUCACGUCCUUCUCUCUCUCGGUUCUGGUGGUUUCUUGGAAGAACCUCAUCCUCCUCUCCAUCUUGUCGAGCAUGAUCACCUUUUAUGUGAUCAUUCUCUUUGUUUUCUCCAUGUUCGGACCCGUCUUGGUCCAUAUUUAAAUUUCGAUUAAUAGGAUCUCUAGGCUGGUCGUCGUUGGCCAUUCCUUGCGUUCGUCUAAGUCUUCGAAGUUUUCUUUCGUGUCUGUCUAUCUCGUCUAGAAUUGGAAUGUCUCCUGCAGGUCUACGCCUGGUAUUCAUGAAAUUCAGAGAAAAACAAAAGAAGGGAAAGAUAGUUCAGAAAAACUUUAAGAAAGAACUAGAGAUCAGGUGUCUAGAACAGAAGUUAAAACAAGAAAAAUAGCAAAAGGCAGCGAAACAAAUCCCCGGCAACGGCGCAAAAAACUUGAUGUGCUCGUGUCAACUACGUGAGGGAACAAGUUUUACCCUUAACAAGACAAAUGAAAGCCGCAAGUGCACAGCUAAUCAGUUGUAAUAUUUAGGGAUCGAAUCCACAGAGAUUUGUGUGCCUGAUAUUCUUCUACGGUUUUUAACUUUAUGUCUAGACUAAAUUGGUUUUAAAGGUUGGUUGUUUUUCUUGCGAAUUAAACUAAAACAAAAGAAAGCAAAUAAAUCUAUCCUAAAAAACAGGUAAGAAAAUCGAAUGAAAUGCAAUUAGAAUAGGCAAAUAUCGAAUGAAAGACUAAUAAGGCAAGUAAGAUAUCGCAUGAAAAGUAAAUAAAGCAAGUAAAUAAUGAACUAAGGAAAUUGAAAUGCAGGUCUAAAAAAGCAACUAAAAAUCGAUGGGAUUGUAAACUAUGGCUAAAAAUGCUGAGCUUUUGGGAACUCUAAGGGAUCAUAAUCGGUUUUAACACUAAGGUAGAUAGAUUAGGAUUGACAGAUAACGAUAUAUGGGUUCUAGAGCUAGAGUACGGCGGUAUGACUACGUCACUGUCGUGAUCAUAACCAACAGUUUCUCGCAACCCUGACCAGUAGGUUUCCACUCUGGCCCUGGAAGGGAGAGAACGCAAGAGCUGCUCAAGACUCGUCAAUACUCACGAUCUCGCCGCAGGUAGGUUUCCACUCCUACGGAAAAAUUGCCUUUUCAUUCUAGGGCUGAUACUUAAUGAAAACUUUCGCAACACUAACUAUCUAGAUCAGAUACUAGGUGAUCAAACAAGCAUACAUGCAAUAAGAACAAGAAUAAACAGAGAACAGGUCGAAAUCCCAGAUCUAUAAACCUAGAUGUCUUAAUCGAUUAUGAGAGCCCCUUUCGGGAACCCUAAGCCCAACUCGGGAUCAACUCAGACAUGGCUGAGUUCGACAUCAUCAUUGGUUUUAAUAAAAGUAAUGAAAAAAAGUAAAGAAAAGAGAUAAAGAAAGCUUCUCUAUUGAAGAACUCGGACUUGAACAAUCUUCUACAAAAAUCUCAUAAAAACGGCUAAAGGAAAAGGGUUUAUGUAAAGUAUGAAGGGUUCUCCUUAAAAACGACCUAAAUGACAUGUAUUUAUAGUCUCCAAUACUCCAUGGUCUCUAGGGUUCCAGAAUUGAGGCUGAGAAUGACUUUGGGCUUCAGAUAAGUGGGCUUUAACUCGGAGAUUGAUUGCCGCAGUCGGGAGUGUUGUGACCGCGGCAAUUGGCUUGUUGGUCGCGGUCGGGAAGCUUCUGACCGUGGCAAAUAGCUUGUUGGCCGCGGUCGGGUGAGUUGUUGACCGACUUCGAAUGGCUCCGGGGCUAAUGAAAUAUCUUGAGAUCCAACCGUUGGAAUGUCUCCAAACCAAGUGCAUCUGAAAGCUGGUUGAUUCUUCUAUAAGUUGUCUAAUUUUGAGGGUGAUCAGACGGUGAGAAGGUCUUCGUCUCUCCAUGAGAGUUCUGACGGUCUGCAUUUAUCCAAAAUAGUUUUUUUGUUCCAUUUUGUGCCUCUUUAUCCCAAAUUACCUGAAAAGUCUUUUAAAAUCCGGAAACAUAGAAAUCCUUUGAAAACCUUUGAAAAUGGAGUAAAACCACCUGUAAAAGAUAUUAAAAUGAUCCAUAAAAAUGGUCAAAAUCCGGUGUUAUCACCUUUAAGCCAAUCAAGCAGAAAAGAAGAAAGCUCGGCCCCAAACGAGCUAAAGCAGUUAACGACGAAGUCGAGAGAUUACUCAAAGUAGGAUCAAUCGCCGAGGCCAAAUAUCCGGACUGGCUCGCGAAUCCGGUGGUCGUGAAGAAGAAGAACGGCAAGUGGCGGGUCUGUGUGGAUUUCACUGACCUCAACAAGGCGUGCCCAAAAGACAGUUUUCCCUUGCCACACAUCGACCGGCUUGUCGAAGCCACUGCAGGAAAUAGAUUGUUAACAUUUAUGGACGCGUUCUCUGGCUACAAUCAGAUCCUGAUGCAUCCUGAUGAUUGGGAAAAAACGGCAUUUAUAACUGAUCGCGGGAUAUACUGCUACAAAGUCAUGUUGUUCGGGCUCAAGAACGCGGGAGCAACAUAUCAACGGCUCGUCAAUAAAAUGUUCGCGGCUCAGCUCGGAAAAACCAUGGAGGUAUACAUUGACAACAUGUUAGUCAAAUCACUCAAGGAGGAAGACCACGUCGCGCAUCUACGGGAAUGCUUCGAGCAAUUGAACAAGCACAACAUGAAACUAAACCCGGCAAAGUGCAGAUUUGCGGUCACCUCGGGAGAAUUCCUCGGCUAUCUGGUAACUCACUGAGGCAUAAAAGCAAACCCCAAGCAGAUCAAGGCAUUAAUCGAGAUGCCCUCUCCAAGGACGAAGCACGAAGUGCAAAAGCACACAGGAAGGGUCGCCGCGCUAAACAGGUUUAUUUCCCGUUCUACCGACAAGUGCCUGCCUUUCCACGACACCCUUCGGGGAAACAAGAAAUUCGAGUGGGACGAGCGAUGCGAAGCAGCUUUCCAAGAGUUGAAGAAUUAUCUGGCGAGUCCACCGAUCUUAGCAAAACCAGUCGAAGGAGAGCCGCUCUUCCUCUACAUCGCCGUAUCUGCUACAGCUGUGAGUGGAGUGCUUAUCAGAGAAGAACGACCCGAGCAAAAACCCAUUUUCUACAUCAGCCAGACACUGACCGACGCCGAGACCCGCUACCCCCAGAUCGAGAAGGUCGCCUUAGCCGUCGUAGUCUCGGCUCGCAAACUGCGCCCGUAUUUUCAACCACAUUCAAUUGUUGUGCUCGCUACACUUCUGCUGCGCUCGAUCCUACACAGCCCGAGCCAAUCCGGUCGGCUCGCCAAGUGGGCCAUAGACUGAGCGAAUACGACAUCGAGUAUCGGAACGGGUCGUCUGCAAAGUCACAGGUGCUCGCAGAUUUUCUCAUCGAACUUCCAGCCGAAGCAACGAACGAGCCAACCCCGGACGAAGUAUGGACGCUGCACGUCGACGGCUCGUCAUCUAAACACGGCUCAGGAAUAGGAAUCCGCCUCACCUCUCCCACAGGAGAGAUACUGGAGCAGUCGUUUCGCCUAAACUUCCACGCCUCGAACAACGAAGCAGAAUACGAAGCAGAAUACGAAGCACUGAUCGCCGGUGUACGACUAGCGCAAAGAAUUGGAGUUCAAAAGAUAAUAACCUUUUGCGAUUCACAGCUCGUAGCAUGCCAGUUCAACGGAGAGUACGAGGUGAAAGAUGGACGAAUGGGAGCUUACCUCAACGUGGUCCGAGAGUUGGUGCAGAAGUUCGACGAGUUCGAGCUCACACAAAUUCCCCAAGGAGAAAACACCUCGGCUGACGCCUUGGCAGCACUCGCCUCGACCUCAGACCCAGACCUCCGACGGACGAUUCCAGUUGAAUUCAUCGAACGUCCUAGCAUCGAAGAGGUAGAAAGAGUUCGGCUGAUAAAUCCUCCCGAACAAGAACCGGAAGACGACAAAGCCAUUCCUAUGGACGAAGACGCCCUACCAGCCGAGCCGGAGUACGGCUGCAACAAAAAAUGGCUCGGAGCUAUCCGAGUAUAUAUCGCCGAUGGAGAAGUCCCAACCGACAAGUGGGAAGCCCGCAAAUUAAAAGCAUAGGCCACGCGGUAUGUCCUUGUCGACGGAGAGGUGUUUAAAUGGAGAUUUUCAGGACCUCUCAUGACAUGCGUCGAAGGACCGGAGGCAAGAAAGAUCAUGCACGAACUGCACAGCGAAGCGUGCGGAAACCAUUCUAGCGGAACGUCGCUCGCUAUCAAGAUAAAACGGCACGGUUACUUCUGGCCUACGAUGGUCAAGGACUGCGAAACAUUUACGGCAAAGUGCGAGAAGUGUCAACGGCACGCUCCAACAAUUCAUCAACCUACCGAGCUGCUCUCAUCAAUUUCGUCAUCUUACCCGUUCAUGAGAUGGUCGAUGGACAUCGUCGGACCUCUACAUCGAUCGAAGCAGAAGCGCUUUCUGCUCGUCCUCACGGGUUAUUUUUCCAAGUGGGUCGAGGCUGAUUCCUACGCAAGCAUAAAGGAUGUUCAAGUCGAACACUUCGUAUGGAAAAAUAUCAUCUGCAGACACGGGUCCCCUACGAGAUAGUCACCGACAACGGAUCCCAGUUCAUCUCGACGCGUUUUGAAGCCUUCUGCGAGAAGUGGAAAAUCCGUCUAAGCAAAUCUACACCAAGAUACCCUCAAGGGAACGGACAAGCUGAAGCAGCCAACAAGACAAUCCUAGACGGUCUGAAAAAGAGGCUCGACGCCAAGAAAGGACGAUGGGCAGACGAACUCGAAGGAGUCCUUUGGUCGCAUCGAACGACCCCGCGCCGAGCCACCGGAGAAACUCCAUUCGCUUUGGUCUACGGAGCGGAAUGCGUAAUUCCCCCCCGAGGUGGACUUCCCAGGUAUUCGACGAAGACUUCUACCAGGACAUGAGGGCUUAAACCACUUAAUGAUGCUAGAUGAGCUCGAUCUAAUCAACGAAAGGCGUGACCAGGCUUUAGUCCGAAUCCAGAACUAUCAACAAGCAACGGCGAGGUACUUCAACAAAAACGUUCGUAGUCGAAGAUUCAAAGAAGGAGAGCUCGUCCUUCGAAAGAUUUUCCAAAACACUGCCGAGAAGAAUGCAGGAAAGCUCGGAGCAAACUGGGAAGGUCCUUACAAGAUUACAAAAGUAGUUCGCGCAGGAGUCUACGAACUCGCAACCCUAGCUGACGAAGCGAUUCCAAGAUAAUGGAACGCAAUGCAUCUAAAGAAGUAUUAUCACUAAAGCUACAGUACGGUCAACAUGAACUACGGGACGGCUUGAUCCCUGCAAAGGGUACGUAGGCAGCCCGUCCUCGGACGGAUUCAGCUGUCCCCCCUCCUAAAAAGGGGGGGGGGGGAGUGGGUACGUAUACACAUACUUUCAUUUAACUCUACAAUUUUAGCUCACCUACCUAGGAACAUUGCCACUUCGGCACAUUUUCAGUUCGUUUUAAGUUAUCUACUUAUUUCAUGUUCACCUCGGAAUUCUAGUUCGUUCAUUAUCGCUUCGGCUAGUUUCUCAUUCUUUUAAAUCAGCAGCUUAUUUCAUAAUUCGCCUCGGAUUCUUUAAUUCGUUCACCCAUCACUUUGACAUGUUAUCAUGACUUAAUCGUCUCAGACCUUUUACUUGCCUUCACUUUCAGUUCGACAAAUUAAGUCUCCAGACGCCUCGUCUCGUUGCUGGCCACAACGGGACAACGGAUACAAAGUUCUCUAAACGGACUUUUACCACCUUUCUUAGGACGAGGGUGCAAGUUACAUCCUCUAUGAAUAAAAUUAAAGCGCGCUAUACAAAUAUCAGACCAAAAACGUAUCGGUCGCCACAGUUUACUAUCGCACACAGAUUAUAAGUCGAGACUACAUCGCUUUCUCUAAAACCGAAGUGAACUCUUAAAACCCGGCAAAACACACUCAUCCUCUCGGAAACGCCGGUCUAUGGUCAUAUUCAACGAGACUACUAUAUCCUCUUGAUCUUUCGCCUCGUCAAUGAGAAAACACAUAACUUACCUGAUAAAUACUUCGGCUUCUUUCUCAAAACAAUCUUAUAACAGCUCACCUCAAUGCGGACCUCUCUCAGUGACAGAAUGGAUAAACCCCAAAUCAUUUUUGGUUAAUAAAAACAAAACGCCUCGUCGUUUACACGGCUCGGCAUCAUGCAAAGAAAAACGCCUCGUCGUUGAACACGGCUCGGCAUUACCAACAAAAGUUGCCUGGAUAUUAUCACUUAACACUUUUUAGCGUCACCUAAAACAAAAGACGCUCCACAAACCAACUCCCAGCUCGGGAUUCAGAACUCAAACGGGAUCCUGAACAACUCACCCCUUAGCCCGUAUUUCUAUCAAUUUCAAAGAAUUCGGCUAGAAAAGCAAUCGAGAUCAUUCUCGACACAGCUCGAUAAGCCAAUCGGUGACAACUCUUUCCAAACAAACAGUUUUUGUAAACAUUUUCACGGAUCGUCAAGGACAAACGAAUCAAAUCCGAAAACGGCUAAGGAAAAGAUAAUAUAACCAAAUGGAAAAAUAACAGUCAGGUGGAUAAAGCCAUCCAGGCACCGGUUUCACAAGAUUUCAAGAAGCAGAUAACAUCACCUAAAAUCCUAAGUACAAAAGCAUGUGAGACGAAAAGAUAGGAGAAAGCGGAGAGGAUCAGGCCGCAGACUGCGUUUCACACUCGGCAAGGAGGUUCGAGAGGGCCGGCGUCUCCGCAUUCGAUCCGGUCGGAUCUACGACGCCCAGGUUGGCCGCUGUCUCCUCGAGCGGCUCGUUACCGAGACUGGUGUCCACCUAGUCCGGCGAUACGGGCGAAAAAACCAGGUUACCUCGAAUCUCAGAGGCAAUGCGCUCAUACGCCUCGUCGUCGGCGUACUUGCUCUCCCAGCUCUUCAGCUUCGCCUCCUCGUCAUCGAGCGUUGGGGCGUCCAGUUUCAUCAGGUCGGCAAUCAUCGCAAGAUUGCCCUUGAUCUGCCCCAGCUCGUUCUUGUCGGUUUUGGCCUUCUCGAGCUUGGCCAAACCUUCCUUUACCUUGGCGAGGCGUUCCUGAAACUUAUCCUUUGCCUCGAUACGCUUUUUGAGCAACGCCACCUCGGCGCUUUUAGCUCUCCUAGCCUCCUCCAGGCAAAUAGCCGAGGCGGAGACCUUGUCAAUAUUGGUGCAGAGAACUAUCUUCUCCUCUUCCAGCCUGGACACCCUGGUCAUCGCCUCGUCCAGCUUCCCCUUUGCCAACGCGGUCUCGUUCGGAGCCUCGUCCAAGCGACGUUCAACCUUAGACAGGUCCGUCUCGUAUUCAGCCAUCAGCUCGUUGAUGGUCGCUACAAACUGCAAGGAAUAAUGCGCGUUAAACACUUGGUACCACGCUGUGCCAUCGCGCCGUACGACCUCGGUCUCCUCAGCUUUUCUGGAGGAGGAAGACGCGUGUUCGCAUUAUUAACGCGCGCGAACAUUACUGCCGAGGCGUCAGGGUCGUCAACGACCAGUUUGCGCGCAGCGUGAUCACCGGGAGUCGACUUGCGCUUCUUCUUGGACGGCUCAUCUUUUGGAUAGCAACGCCCGCUGAACGUUUCCGGCUAGGGUCGUGCUUACGUACAACCGAGGUCGGGGGCCUCGAUGACUUCGGGAGAGCCAGAAUAGCGGAAUUUGAAGGAGUUUUACUCCGCGCCGCCGAGUCAUCUUUGGACGCCUCGGGAAUAAUCUCGCCCGGUUCCACCUCGGGCGCUGUUUCUUUUUCGGCCGCCUCGGCAACGUUCGCCUCCGUGGCUCGGACCGUGUCGUCACCUUCACGGCUCGGCGGAUCGGUCUGAGGGAUAGCCUCGGUCUCUGUUUGAGCCGCCUCGGCGGCUCGUCUCGCGGCUUCUUCCUCUUCACGCCUCUUCUUAUCUCUGAGAGUAAUGAUCACCAUUUUCUCUCUGGUAUCUCUUGAGGAGCUGGAAGAUGAAGAGCUAACAGGGACUCCGGCAAGAAUAGCUCGCGCUUUUUCUACUCUCUCAAGUGUGAAAUUCUUCCUCCAGUUAAGCUUCCGAGCCGAAAGGGAGUCUCGAACAAUAAAGAGGUCGUCGGGAAUCGGGGAAAGAAUAUUCCGAACUGCAAAAACAACGCAAAAAGAAAAAAGAUUCAGUAAGGGAAAAUGCAAAAAAAACAGUUCCGAGCCGAGGCAAAGCUUCGGAUCGGCUACCAAGUGUCCCCAAGCGGUCUUGGUUUUUUUAAUGUAAUCCUCGCCGACCGACGCCUCGUUCACCAAGACAUAGAAGAAGCGUUCGGUCCAAAACUGAAACUUGCUUGGAAAACCACCUAUAAUCCGGCGAUUGGACUUGUUAGAAAUAUAGAAUCUAUCUCCCUUCGGAGCUUUCCUGAUUUUCAGCAAGUUCAGUGAUGUGCUCGUGUCAACUACGUGAGGGAACAAGUUUUACCCUUAACAGGACAAAUGAAAGCCGCAAGUGCACAGCUAAUCAGUUAUAGUAUUUAGGGAUCGAAUCCACAGAGAUUUGUGUGCCUGGUAUUCUUCUACGGUUUUUUAACUUUAUGUCUAGACUAAAUUAGUUUUUAAGGUUGGUUGUUUUUCUUGCGAAUUAAACUAAAACAAAAGAAAGCAAAUAAAUCUAUCCUAAAAAACAGGUAAGAAAAUCGAAUGAAAUGCAAUUAGAAUAGGCAAAUAUCGAAUGAAAGACUAAUAAGGCAAGUAAGAUAUCGCAUGAAAAGUAAAUAAAGCAAGUAAAUAAUGAACUAAGGAAAUUGAAAUGCAGGUCUAAAAAAAGGCAAGUAAAAAUUGAUGGAAUUGUAAACUAUGGCUAAAAACGCUGAGCUUUUGGGAACUCUAAGGGAUCAUAAUCGGUUUUAACACUAAGGUAGAUAGAUUGGGAUUGACAGAUAACGAUAUAUGGGUUCUAGAGCUAGAGUACGGCGGUAUGACUACGUCACUGUCGUGAUCAUAACCAACUGCUUCUCGCAACCCUGACCAGUAGGUUUCCACUCUGGCCCUGGAAGGGAGAGAACGCAAGAGCUGCACAAGACUCGUCAAUACUCACGAUCUCGCCGCAGGUAGGUUUCCACUCCUACGGAAAAAUCGCCUGUUUCAUUCUAGGGCUGAUACUUAAUGAAAACUUUCGCAACACUAACUAUCUAGAUCAGAUACUAGGUGAUCAAUCAAGCAUACAUGCAAUAAGAACAAGAAUAAACAGAGAACAGGUCGAAAUCCCAGAUCUAUAAACCUAGAUGUCUUAAUCGAUUAUGAGAUCCCCUUUCGGGAACCCUAAGCCCAACUCGGGAUCUACUCAGACAUGGCUGAGUUCGACAUCAUCAUUGGUUUUAAUAAAAGUAAUGAAAAACAGUAAAGAAAAGAGAUAAAGAAAGCUUCUCUAUUGAAGAACUCGGACUUGAACAAUCUUCUACAAAAAUCUCAUAAAAAGGGCUAAAGGAAAAGGGUUUCUGUAAAAUAUGAAGGGUUCUCCUUAAAAACGACCUAAAUGACAUGUAUUUAUAGUCUCCAAUACUCCAUGGUCUCUAGGGUUCCAGAAUUGAGGCUGAGAAUGACUUUGGGCUUCAGAUAAGUGGGCUUUAACUCGGAGAUUGAUUGCCGCGGUCGGGAGUGUUGUGACCGCAGCAAUUGGCUUGUUGGCCGCGGUCGGGAAGCUUCUGACCGCGGCAAAUAGCUUGUUGGCCGCGGUCGGGUGAGUUGCUGACCGACUUCGAAUGGCUCCGGGGAUAAUGAAAUAUCUUGAGAUCCAACCGUUGGAAUGUCUCCAAACCAAGUGCAUUUGAAAGCUGGUUGAUUCUUCUAUAAGUUGUCCAAUGUUGAGGGUGAUCAGACGGUGAGAAGGUCUUCGUCUCUCCAUGAGAGUUCUGACGGUCUGCAUUUAUCCAAAAGAGUCUUUUUGUUCCAUUUUGUGCCUCUUUAUCCCAAAUUACCUGAAAAGUCUUUUAAAAUCUGGAAACAUAGAAAUCCUUUGAAAACCUUUGAAAAUGGAGUAAAAACACCUGUAAAAGAUAUUAAAAUAAUCCAUAAAAAUGGUCAAAAUCCGGUGUUAUCAUUCAGCAGGUGAUUCAGUUCGAUAUCAAGCCUGCACUCAAAGCUUCGAACCAAAAUGCCAAUCAUAUGCCGUAGACCCCUCGGCAUGAUCUGCCUAAUUGAGAUCCCAUGUUUCCAGAGGUAUUCAAGGAUAACUCCAGGGAUCGGGAACCAGAGAAAUCAAAGCUCGAAGAACGCCUCGUACAGAGUGAAGUGAUUCUCGGGAGGCUUGUCGUCUCGGUCGUUCUUAUCUGGAACGAUAAACUCCACCGCCUCGGAUAUCUCGAAACAACGCCUGAACGCCUCGAGUGAGUCAGGGGAGGAAUGCGUAGAACCAGGCGGGUCAGGUUUUUGUCUUUUCACCCGUUGCCUUCGCCCAGAUGAAGAAGCGCCUCAGGACGCCAUGAAACGUUCUAAUUCAUGCUUUGCCUCGAACAGAUCAAAGGGAAACGCCUCCUCCUCGGCUUUUACUGCAGCACGAUUAACGUCUUCGUCAAGAGCGGGACCCUGAGGCUGGCUCGUCGAAACCGACGGCUCGUCAUCUAGAGAGCGGGCGCCUGACGGAUUUGAAUGAUUCGACGCCUCGUCGCUUUCAGGUGAACGGUUGGAAGGGCUCGGCGAAAUGGAUGCCUCGGAAGAUUCUGUUGCACUUCUCGCCUCGGCAUUUACAUGGCUCGGUUCGUAGUUAAAAAGCGAAUCCAACGAAUCAUCAGAACGGUUCGACAUGAUUUACAGAUUAUACGGGAAUUACAAGGUUACACGGCGAACUUCCAUCGGAAAAAGAUCUAGAGCGGCGGAGACCUCAGAACCCUAGACGGAAAAUAAAUAAACAAGACAGAGAAAGAAGAGAGAAGGGAGAGCUACCUUUUAGUGAAAACGAGUGGAUCUGAAGAUUAUGAGAAGGAACAAAAGAGCUCACCUAUUUAUAGAAAAACCGAAGCGCGUGGGUUAUGUGUGAACCUCGGGAGACCGUCCAACAGCGCGUGGGAUCCGCGGCGUAUUAACUAGCUCCAACUGCGUCGGUUACACGCGCCAAUAAAUCAGGAAAAUUCUUUCGGAAGACCAACGGUUGGGAUACCUGAGUUUUCAGCCGACAUCUCGCCACAGUAAACGCCUCGUCGUUAACAAAACGGCUCGGCAUUAACUUUUUCUUGAAACGCCUCAUCGUUAUCAAAAUGGCUCGGCAUGACUUUCUCAAAAACGCCUCGUCAUUUAUUCGGCUCGGCAUGACCUUCUCAAAAACGCCUCGUCGUUUAUUCGGCUCGGCAUAAUAUUCACAAGUCGCCUCGCGUACAACCCUCUUCUAAGGAUAUCUUCCCAAACAGCAUAGACCGCGCCACGCCUCGUCGUUAAACUCGAAUCACGGCUCGGCAUUAUCAACACAAACGCCUCGUCGUUAAACUUGAAUCACGGCUCGGCAUUAUCAACGUAAACGCCUCGUCGUUAAACUAGAAUCACGCCUCGGUAUCCUUGACACCCUCUGGGAAUGCCUCGGCACUUUUUCGAAAAAGCGUCUCAUCACUAACGAGGCGGCUCGGCACAUUCUUCACAUAACCUCGCCAAAACGGCUCGCUACUACACACUGUCGAAGGGCGGCUCGGCAUCUUUAUUUCCAAAACGCCUCACUUGGGACUGUGUCGCAACAGCUCGACUCGAUGGUCUAUCCUAUGAACCUCGUCACUCUCGCCUCCGAAACUGACGAGCUGGGGGGCUAACUGUUGGGGUCGGUUUCACCCUAAUCGGUUUAAACCAUCUCAAUAACAUUGGAGAGCCGAUUCCGACAAGGAGAACCGGUGACCUGUCAAAAAUGGGCCGAGCCCCACAGAAGAAGGCCAAGCUCAAGUGGGCCGAGCCGUGAGGUGAAAAUGGGUGAGCCGCGUAUGAGAGCAGACGGGCCGAGCUGUGUCGUGAGGUAUGGGCCGAGCCGCACUUCAACAUGAUUGGACCGAGCCGCGCCUCACGAGUUAGGCCAAGUCACGUCUCAACUCGAAUGGCAAGUGGGCCGAGCCAUGGAGAAGGUUAGAUGGGCCGAGCUGUGAGAAGAACGGUGAGCGGGCCUAGCAGCGUGAGAGGAGGCAUGGGCCGAAUCGCUUCCCUGUGUGUUGGGCCGAGCCGGUUUUCCAAGAUGGGCCGAACCAAGGCUUUAGAAGACGAAAGCCCACAGAAGCCCUAGGUGAAGUAUUAUGACGGUGGCCGCACGAAGCGAUAAGGAAAUAUACCUAAAAUCUCUCCCAAGAUUCUCGGGAGAGGCGGUUUAAGAAGUUAGUAUAAAUAGGAGAUUUUUACGAUUCAUUAUGUAACUUUUGCCACCCUAAGCAAUAAGACCUAAACACUUUAACAGCAAUAAAAAUCCUCUUUUGAUCUUACUGUUCUUGCGAUUACCCUAGAUGUUUCGGAUCCCUUAGUUUUUCCCUUACAAAUUUUUGGUUGUGCGAGUUUUGGCUCACACAGGUAUCAGAGCUAAAUCGAUCUCUAGGAUUAUGGUUAUUUUCUUAUUAGAUUAGGAGAUAUCUAGUUUUAAUAGGAAAAGGAAAGUGGCUUAGCAAAGUUGUGCAAACCACUAUAUAUAUGUAAGUCAUUGAUGAUGUUGCAUCUAAGAGUAUUCGGAUGCAUCAGUUUUGCAAAGACAGAGGCUCAACACUUGAAGAAGCUGGAUGAUAGAUCACGAGUACUUGUUCACUUAGGAACGAAACCAGGAUCAAAACCAAGAAAAUAGUUGUGAGCAGGGAUGUGAUCUUUGAUGAAAGCAAAGGCUGGAAGUGGGGUGAGAAGGAAAUCAGUAACAACACUGGAAUUUCUAUAAUCAGUUUUGGAGAACACAAUUAUAAUAACUCAAGGGGAGAUGACCAUGAUCUCGAAGAAGAAACAGAGGAAAAGGAGGAAGAGAGUUCCGAAGAAGAGGUCACUGAGCAUGAAAUACAAGUUCCCAAACCCGAGACAGAGAUGAUAUAUCAAGGAGAAGAAGUUGAACAAGGACUAAGGAGAUCAACAAGGUCAAGAGUAAGCCCGAGUUAUCUCGAUGACUUUGUCACUUUAGCCAAGAUUGAUAGUGAACACCUAUUGCUACUUAUAAACGAAGAGCCAUGGGAUUGCAAUGAGCAAAAGGCUGAUAUCUUAACCAAGGCACUAGGAAGAAACAAGUUCAAGGAGAUGAGAUAUCUCAUUGGAGUUCUAGGUGUGUCACAAAAGGAUUUCAAGCUUAAGGGGGAGAAUGUUGGAAUAAGCUUGAAAGAAACUUGAAGUGCAACUUUCCUAAUCCUAAUCAAAGUGUGUUUUCUAGAAGGUUAGGAUUAGAAAAGGAAAUUUAGGAGUUAUCUAAAAAGGAAAUUUGUUUCUCUAUUGAAAUUAGGAGUUAUCUAUUCCAUUCUCUAUAUAAGAGUUGCAAAAUUUGUGGUAGACAUUAUGAGUUGAGAGAGUGAUUAAGAGAGACUUUAGUUUUUGAGUGAUUUUUAAACAAUGGAGAUACCAGGUAAUUAAUCUGGUAUCCCUUUCUCUCUGUUUGAAUGUUCAAACAAUUAUCUGGAGCUUCCCCAGAGCUUAUAAACAGGCUAGUACCAGAGCACGUUAGGCGACAGAUGAGUGGAGGCUUUCCAUUUCAAGCUGCUCCGUAUAAACGACUUCGAAACCAAGAUGCUUUGUUCUUGGUAGAUAAGCCCAUCAAGCUUUUGCUUGGGGAUGUAGAAUUUCAAUUAUUUUAGGGGCCAUUUAGUAUAAAUAUUAGUUGGUUAAGAUGGUGCAGUGAUCUAUGAAAAAAGUGUUUAUUUGUCAUUGUAUUUGGCAUAUUUUAUUUUUAAUCAACAUUAUAUUAUAGAAAUAACUUUUCUUAAACAAUUUAAAAUAAAACAAAUGAAACAAAAACUACAAAACUCCAUCGUCCACUUUACUGUUCGCAUCUACUAUUCAAAAUAAAGAAAAUAACAUAUAUAUUCUAAGUGGAGGUUAUUGGGGAUAAAACGUUUCCUAAUUUUAGUAACAACUAAUAGCAUUUGCAGAUUUUUGCAAGAAAAAAGAAGUUAAAUCCAUUUCUGAAUUGGAAAAAAGGUUUGAAAAUUUCUCAAAACAGAAAGAAAAGAAAAUAGUUAUAAAAAAAAAAGCAUAUAUGUAUUUCCAUUCCUAGACGAUUCUUUACCGAUCUUGCGUGGUGAAAAAAGUAAUACUCAUAUUUUUUCUAUGUUUGGUGUUGAAGAGAUUUUCCAAUAAUCUAUUAUAAAAGAUAAACUUACUAUUACGAAAGAAAAAUUAGGAAAAAAAAUCUGUAUAUACAUUGUUCACUCGAGCUAAAACUAUAGAAACUAAUGAAUAAUUCAACAAAAUCAGGAUUCUUUCUAGUAAUGAUGAAACUUAUUACAAAUAAGAAAGAGUACAAAUAUAUGUGAUCCCAGCUUACAAUGAACCUGCUCCCUACUUAGCAAAAACAAAACUUUUCCAACAAUGUUUUCUAUUCUAGUUGUAUUUAUUCCCCUAUCUGGUUAACCCCUCUACUUCAUUGUGACUUUGUAUGUUCUUCACUUUCUGGUCAAUAUAGAUAUGCUUCUUGUACAAUUACAUGUAAUCCCAGUUUCCCACUCCGAAACCAAACUUUCCCACAUAAGGUCAGCAAUCUAAAAUCUUAUAUAAACCAUCAUAAACAUAAACUUUAGAGCUAACACUGUUUUCAUACUUAAACCCUCUAACCACCCGUACCUCAAUAUCAUGGUACAUACUCCUCUCUAUUGCUAGAUUCCCACUUUCUAGAGCUUCUGAUGUUGAAUCUGCCUGUGGAGCUUAUCUUGACCACCGUGAUCUACCAGAACAUCUCCAUGUGUCUUCAUCAUCCUCGUAAUUACCUGAGACGAUAAUGCUGGUGGCUAUUGGUUCAUCUCCUGUGUAAGCCCACCAAGAACAGUUUCAUGACGGUAAAAUAAGACGUCGCUGAUCUCAACCCGAAGGGAUGGAACCCACUAAGUAUUUAUCCUGGGGUUGAGAUCGGUCGACGUGUUCUUUUACCGUCAUGAACUGUGCUUGGUGGGCUUACACAGCCAGCUACAACGUAGCUCCAAAGGUGAACCGAUAGUCAUCAGCAUUGUCAUCUUGGUAAUUACGAGGAUGAUGAAGACAUACGUGGCUUGUUACAUUAGUCCCAGAAAAGAACCAAAUGUUCUUUCUACAUCUCUUAUCAUAUAAGUCUUAUUGUCUGUUCUUUCUCUCUCUCUGUUUUGCUCCUAUGGCAUUUUUGUCUUGCUUUAGCUUGGGGUAAUAUCUCGAAUCAAUGUUCUUGUUACUCCCCUUCUCUUAUCAUAGGAAACUCAUUGUCUGUACCAUUUUCUAGUUCACAUGCCAAAGUCUUACCGUUUUAGAGUUUUCCUUAAACGCAAUCAUUUUGUAUUCUCUCUCUCUCCGUUUUGCUCAUAUGGCAUUAAUCUGUUGCAAAAAUGAUGCAGAUGAAGAAUAUUUUGACAAAACAUAAACCUUUCUCUGCUCGUUCGCUGUUCUGUCUUUCCUUCUCUCUACGAUAUCUGCAAGGCAAGAUAAAUGUUCUUUCUACUUCUCUUAUCAUAGGAGUCUCAUUGUCUGUUCUUGCAUGCCCACAUGCCGAAGUCUUAAUAUAUUUGAGUAUUUUCGAAGUUUGUUUGGUUGCUCAAUUAAACCAAUCGCAUUCAGUGAAGAAUUAAUGUGGAUUCCAUUUUCUAAACCAGACCCAUUUAUUGUGAUAGAUAAUACAUAUUUGGUAAGUUACAAACAAUAGAGAUGAAAAUUGCCCUAAGUAAAAAGGAAGAAGAAAUUAAAUAUCUAUCACACUACAAGACAUGUUUGGACCACACAAAAACUCAGGGUUUAAUAGUUUGAUCGUGUGUGAUCAAACUAACAUAUUUUUGAUUUUUGUUUUACAUUUGAUUUAUUUUGUGUGGUAUCAACCAAUGUUCUAUUUGUUUUACAAAGAACGAUAGGAGUCUCUUCCAAAAUUUCAUUCUACAUUUCAUAAUUCUUAUUGCAAAAGUUCACGAUAUCUUUUUUUGUUUGUCAUUCAUUUUAAUUUCUAGGCUGAGCUCAAAAUUUCUCGAAAAAUUUGUUGUAACAGUAUGGAGGCAGAAGCUACAACUCUUCUUUGGAUCAUGAUAUGUUUGGAUAAUCUUGGCUAUGAAGAGGUAAUUUCCGAGAGUGAUUCAAAGAUAUUGGAGAAAGCGGUAUAAGCUGAACCUCGAGAAUGGUCAAGGUUUAUAGUCUAUACCUGAGAAAUCAACAAGACAAGAAAAAUAUUAAUUCGACCAACCAUCACUUUCCAAGGAAGACGAGCAAACUAAUGUGUUGAUCUUACAGCCAAUAAAACCUCUUCAUAUGAAGUUCAUUAUGCAUUCUUGAUUAUAUUGUACGUACUCUUUGGUUGAGAAGGAGAAACGAAUUUAUAUGAAAUAUGUUUGAGCUCGAAAAAAUAAGAAAAAUAUGGCAUUAUGUUAAGGAAUGAUGAUAACUCUCCGAAAUUAACAGCAACAAAAAAAUGGAUGACAACUCCUCGUUUACUGGUUUGGAUUCUAUACUAUUACAUUUCGGUUAUUUUCUCAUUUUCACACUUUUCCAUUAUUUUAUAACAUGUUAUGAUGUCAAAAAGAAAUUACAACAUGAUAUAGUGAAAUACAAACGAUAUAACUAUUAAAGUAGCAUUAUUUUAUGGCAUUUUAAAUUUUUAAUUUUGGAUGAUGUUUACUUUUUUUAAUUAAUUUUAUUUCAAUUAGGUAUGUCUCAAGUGGUUAUUUAAAUUCUCUUUCGUUUCUAACAUAAAAUUUUGUUUUAUGUUUAUGAAACUUUUCGCCCGCGUAAAGCGCGGGCUAAAUACCUAGUUUAAUAUUUAAAAUGACACAAUCGUUUUACCAAAAUUUUUUACGUAUAGGAAAUGAUAAAAGAAAAACAUUUACUUGUAAAAUUUUAAAAAUAUAUACUAGAACAAAAAACCUGCUUGUACACGCAGGUGAUCAUCUAGUAGUUAUAAAAAUAGCAUAAUUGUAUGUAUUUCACACUCGUAGACAAUUCUUUACCGAUCUUGCGUAGUGAGAAAAAUAAUACUCAUACUAUUGUUUAUGUCUGGUGUUAAAAAGAUUUUCCAAUAAUUUAUUACAAAAAAAUAAAUUUAAUUUUCGAAAGAAAAAUUAGGAAAAAAUUUAUAUACAUGUUCAUUUGAAUUAAAACUAUGGAAACUAAUGAAGAAUUCAACAAAACCAGGAUUCUUUCUAGUAAUGAUGAAACUUAUUACAAAUAAGAAAGAGUACAAGUACAUGUAAUCUCAGUUUACAAUGAAUCUGCUCACUACUAAAAAAAAAAUGUUUUUUCCAACAAUGUCUUCUGAACCCUUUGAUCUGCUACUAUUAAUCCGAGAAGCAGAAACAUGUUUUCAGCCAAGUGAGAAUUCUUGAUUAUACCCACAUAUCUGCAUCUCCUAAAAUUGAGGUUCCAUACAUUUUCAUUGCUGGAUGCUUGUGAACGCAUACCAAGAUUUGGAUGCUCGUCGAGAGGUUGGGUCCUCUUCUAAAUCCAACACAGGUGAAUGGUUGAGAACUGGAGUGGAUGUUGUUGACUUAAGCAGCAGCAACAACAACAAUACAGAUAAAGCAAUCAAAAGACCAUUCUUGGAUUUGGGUGUCGUUUUUCCUACCAUCACCGUUAGCAACANNNNNNNNNNNNNNNNNNNNNNNNNNNNNNNNNNNNNNNNNNNNNNNNNNNNNNNNNNNNNNNNNNNNNNNNNNNNNNNNNNNNNNNNNNNNNNNNNNNNCUGAAAUCUUCGGUUUGGGGAUUGAGCCUGCUUAAGUCCGCAUUACACAAGCACAUGUAACAUCUCAGAAAAAUAACUUCAAAAUACGGCCAGCAGAUCAGCAGGAUACCGCUUUAUCGAUCUCCUUCACUUAACCGCGUAAUGAUUUUAAAGGCAUGGGGAGACAGUAAAAGCAAGAUUUGAACAUUAGAGUAUAUGUAUGGUUUCUGUUCCUCAGUUUACAUCAUCAGCAUCCACUCCAGUUCUCAACCAUCCACCUGUGUUGGAUUUAGAAGAGGAACCAACCAACCACUUAUAUCCAUUCUGCUCCUGGUGUCUUCCACAGAGAUGUGAAACUACAGAACCUUUUGGUAAGUUGAUCUUAUUGUGGGUUUGUCUUCGGUAACCAUUACUAGAUUGUAAUCCAUUUCUCUGGUGCGUUCUGUAGGUUGAUCCCCUCACUCAUCAGUGUAAGCUGUGUGAUUUUGGAAGUGCAAAAGUAUUGGUAAGGGUUUACCUUAUUUAUGUUGUUUUAUUAUUUUUCCACUGCUUAUGUGUUCUGUCUCAUGAAAUCAAUUGCACCUUAUUUGUUUUCAUGAUCUUUGCAACAUGUGACUAUUGACUUUAGGUGAAAGGUGAACCAAAUAUAUCAUAUAUCUGCUCUCGGUAUUACCGAGCUCCAGAACUCAUCUUUGGGGCCACAGAGUCUACAUCCUCCAUAGAUAUAUUGUCUGCUGGUUUUGUUUUGGCAGAGCUCCUUCUUGGUCAGGUUAGUGUAAACUAAUUUAUCCAUUAAGUAUCUUGAGAACUAAAGCAUCUCUCCAAUAUCUUUGACAAUCAUUUGAUAUUUAUUUAUCUUCAGCCGUUAUUCCCCCAAAAUUCUGUGGACCAGCUAGUGGAGAUCAUCCAGGUGAAGUCUCAUUUUGAUUUAGAGUUUACCUUGGCGUCAUUAUAGAAAAUUCCUAUAAUCUAAUAGAUUUUUCAUUAUGAUUAAAAUUUCGUUCUGUUUAGGUUCUUGGUACUCCAACUCAAGAAGAAAUCCGAUGCAUGAAUCCAAACUUUACAGACUUUAGGUUCCCACAAAUCAAAGCUCAUCCAUGGCAUAAGGUAUUUUAUAUGCAUGUUACGUUCUAACUUUUCUGAUCAUACAAUAGCUUAGUAGAAAAAUGAAAAGCUGAAACAAUACACAUACUACUUUAUGACCUCCAGGUUUUCUAAUAAGCGGAUGCCUCCAGAAGACAUUGACCUUGCAUCUCGGCUUCUUCAACAUUCAUCGAGCCUACGUUGCACUGCGGUCAGUAUCUCUAAACGACCAAGUAUUCUUAGUUGUUAGAGUGGUUCUCUCUGUUUGGACCUGCACUGUUUAAUGAUGCUGGGGCUUUUUAACUGACAUGUGUUAUGUUUCCGUGUCUAAAAAGCUCGAAGCAUGUGCUCAUCCAUUUUUCAAUGAACUACGUGAGCCCAAUGCUCGUCUUCCAAACGACCGACCUCUACCACCGUUGUUCAACUUCAAACAAGAGGUACGUUAGUCCACUUUCCUUAAACCAACCAUUCUUAAACCAAACCAUAACAGAUGUUAAGUUCAAACAGUUUCUUAAUCUUGUAUCUCUCUCUGUUUAAAUGUUAAAACAGUUAUCUGGAGCUUCCCCAGAGCUUAUAAACAGGUUAGUCCUAGAGCAUGUUAGGUGACAGAUGAGUGCAGGUCCAAACAGAGAGAACCAGGUUAGUACUAGAGCACUGUUCAAGCUGGUCUGUAGAAACAACUUCGAAACCAAGAUGUUUUGUUCUGGGUAAAAAAACCCAUCAAGCAUUUGCUUUGGGCACUAGAAUUUCAAUUAUUUUAGAGGCCAUUUUGUAUAAAUAUGAGUUGGUUAAUAUGGUGUAGUGGUCUAUGAAAAAUGUGUUUAUUUGUCAUUGUGUUUGGCAUAUUUUAUUUUUAAUCAGCAUUAUAAUUAUAUUAUAGAAUUAGCUUUUCUGAAACAACUUAAAACAGAACAAAUGAAAUAAAAACUAUAAAACUCCAUUGUCCAUCUUACUGUUUACAUCUACUAUUCAAAAUGAAGAAAAUAACCUAUAUAUUCUUAGGGGAGGUAUUUGGGGAUAACACGUUUUUUAAUUUGGAUAACGACUGAUAGCAUUUGCAGAUUUUUGCAAGAAAAAAGAAGUUAAAUAUAUUUCUGAAUUGGGAAAAAGGUUUAAAACAUUCUCAAAAAAAAAAGAAAAGAAAAUAGUUAUAAAAAAACAGCAUAUAUGUAUUUCCAUUCAUAGACGAUUCUUUACCUAUCUUGCGUGGUGAAAAAAUAAUACUCAUAUUUUUGUCUAUGUUUGGUGUUGAAGAGAUUUUCCAAUAAUCUAUUAUAAAAGAUAAACUUACUUUUACGGAAGAAAAUUUAGGAAAAAAAUCUAUAUAUACAUUGUUCACUCGAGCUAAAACUAUGGAAACUAUAAUGAAGAAUUCAACAAAAUCAUGAUUCUUUCUAGUAAUGAUGAAACUUAUUACAAAUAAGAAAGAGUACAAAUAUAUGUAAUUCCAGCUUAUAAUGAACUUGCUCACUAUUUAGCAAAAAAAACUUUUUCCAACAAUGUUUUCUAUUCUAGUUUUAUUUAUCUCCCUAUCUGGUUAAGCCCUCUACUUCAUUGUAUAUUCUUCACUUUCUGAUCAAUAUAUAUGCUUCUUGUACAGUUACAUGUAAUCCCAGUUUCCCACUCCAAAACCAAACUUCUCCACAUAAGGUCAGCAAUCUGAAAUCUUAUAUAAACCAUCAUAGACAUAAACCUUAGAGCUAACACUGUUCUCGUACAUAAACCCUCUAAUCACCCGUACCUCAAUAUCAUGGUACACUAAAUUCCCACUUUCUAGAGCUUCUAAUGUUGAAUCUGCCUGUGGAGCUUAUCUUGACCACCAUGACCUGUAUAAACCAGAACAUCUCUAUGUGUCUUCAUCAUCCUCGUAAUUACCUGAGACGACAAUGCUGGUGGCUAUGGGUUCAUCUCCUGUGUAAGCCCACCGAGCACAGUUCAUGACGGGCAAAGAAUUUGUUGUUAAUCACGAUUACAGCUUGUAAACUUUUUCAGGUUCCGUUCUCGGCACAAGUAGUACAAGUUGUGAAUAUUCUUUAAUCUAGAAUGAGACUGGAACACCUUAACUCCACAGCCUCUUAAUCCUAUGUGCACAAGAUUCGAUACGCAAUUACGUUAGCCUGUCACAUGUCGACGUUAUUAACUAUCAUAUUAGAAUUUAGCCAGGUUAUUCUAAUCUGGAAAUUUUUCGUAAUAUAUGAGUGUUGAUGCGGACCAUCUGAAAAUGUCUAUUUAAUCCCAUGUGGACGUCACACNNNNNNNNNNNNNNNNNNNNNNNNNNNNNNNNNNNNNNNNNNNNNNNNNNNNNNNNNNNNNNNNNNNNNNNNNNNNNNNNNNNNNNNNNNNNNNNNNNNNAUGAACUGUGCUCUCAGUGGGCUUACACAGCCAGCUACAACGUAGCUCCAAAGGUGAACUGAUGGCCACCAGAAUUGUGGUCUCAGGUAAUUUGAGGAUGAUGAAGACGUAUGUGGCUUGUUACAUUAGUCCCAGCAAAGAACCAAAUGUGAAGGCGCAUUUGGAGCUGUGUAAGCUAAAGCAUCCAGGAGAGAACUAUCUCGGUAAUAUUAGAGUGAUGAGAGUUUAGGAUUGGAAGAAUUGUAUUGAAUGUACAUAGUAGCUACAUUUAUAUAGAGAAUGAAUUAACCUAAUAAUCUAACUAAUAAACUCAUAUAAAGAUAUUUACAAAUCUCUAGAAUAUAUUCACAAUAUCUUCUUUUAUCAUAUGGAUCUUCUAGAUCCUUCUAUACGCCCCCUCAAGCUCAAUGUGUGAUGGAGCGAAGCGGAAUCAAUGGUUUGAGAUUGACUUCAGAUUGAUCAAGUAAGAGCUGGUGUAUUCUUUGGACUUUGUGGAAGACGUUGAAUGCACGUGCUGAACAAGCGGAUGGGAGGACAACAAACCAUGACAACGAGGCGACAAAGAUGCAAGAGAGAUGCGAUAUGAUUGCGGUGAAAGCCUCAAUAGCAUGAAGAACGGUGUUGACCAUGGCGGUUUUGAGCCAGUGGGAUGUGGCAGUGGAAACUGUGCUUGGGUGGAGAUAGGCUCGUGACUUAGUUUCUUGAGGAAGAAGAAAUAGAGUUUAUUUUCUUCCUUUUUAUGUUUUUUUUUAAUUUUUUUUAUUGAAAGAACACGAUGAAAACUUUUUUUAUAUAUAUGACUGAAAUCAAAAAUCAAAAAUUGGAACGAAAACUUGUAGAACAUGUUUUUUUUAAUAGAAUAAAAAAUACAACGAGAAACCAAAAAGAAAAAAAAAUAUAUAUAAAAUAUCUAAUUUUUAUUUUCUUUUGAAUGUAUCAAACCUAAUUAGAACGUAGAAAAAUAAAACCAACGCAGCCACUUAUUAUUUAUUUUUUUGUGAAUAAGAAAAAGAGACAGAUAGAGAUGGGAAGGGGAAACAGAGAGGAAGUAGACCAGCCAUUUGUGUAAGAAGAAGCAAAUGACGGUGAAAAAGAAGAAAUGUAGAGAGAAAAAGGAGUUUGAUCGUUAGAUCUAUAACUCGGAAACACUCUGGCUUAGAUUCAGAGGUCCAUGAUAUAAUUAAAUUUUAGAAGCACUUGGCUUAAGAAAAAAAAUGAAAAAGAAGUUUGAUCACCAGAUCAAAACUUUGGAGCAAACCUGCUAUGAUACCAUAUUAGAGUGAUGAGAGUUUAUGAUUGGAAUAAUUGUAUAUUGACUCACAUUGAUUGAAUGUACAUAGUAGAUACAUUUAUAUAGAGAAUGAAUUAACCUAAUAAUCUAACUAAUAAAAUCAUAUAAAGAUAUUUACAAAUCUCUAGAAUAUAUUCACAAUAUCUUCUUUGAUCAUAUGGAUCUUCUAGAUCCUUCUAUAAUCCGAGCUAAGCUUGGACUAUGGGUCAGCAGAUGAACUGAACGGGAAGCUCUUAAUCUGUAACUGAGUAGCUUCUAUAGCUUGUUUCUGUAUUUUUCUAUGUCUUUACCGAGAUAGCUCUCCGGGAUGCUUUAGCUUGAGGCAUUUUCUCAAAUCAAUGUUCUUUCUACAUCUCUUAUCAUAGGAGUCUCAUUGUCUGUAUUCUCUCUCUCUCUGUUUUGCUCCUAUGGCAUUUCUUUCUUGCUUUAGCUUGGGGUAAUAUCUCAAAUCAAUGUUCUUGCUACUCUCCAUCUCUUAUCAUAGGAGUCUCAUUGUUUGUACCAUUUGCUAGUUCACAUGCCAAAGUCUUACCGUUUUAGAGUUUUCCUUAAAUGCAAUCAAUUUUGUAUUCUCUCUCUCUCUCUGUUUUGCUCCUAUGGCAUUAAUCUGUUGCAACAAUGAUGCAGAUGGAGAAUACUUUGACAAAUUAACAUAAACCUUUCUCUGUUAGUUCGCUGUUCUGUUUUUCCUUCUCUCUUCGAUAUCUGCAAGGCAAGAUAAAUGUUUUUUCUACAUCUCUUAUUAUAGGAGUCUCAUUGUCUGUACUUGCAUGCUCACAUGCCAAAGUCUUGCCAUAUUUGAGUAUUUCCGAAAUUUGUUUUGUUGCUAAAUUAAACCAAUCACAUGAUUCAGUGAAGAAUUAAGGUAGAUUCCAUUUUAUAAACCAGACCAAUUUAUUGUGAUAGAUAAUACAUAUUUGGAAAGUUACAAAUAAAAGAAAUGAAAAUUGCCCCAAGAAAAAAAGAAGAAGAAAUGAAAUAUCUAUCACACUACAACAAGACAUGUUUGGACCACACACAAACUCAAGUGUAAUUUAAUCGUGUGUGAUAACUAACAUCUUUUUAAUUAUUUUUGCUUUUACAUUUGAUCUAUAUUGUGUGGUAUCAACCAAAUGUUUUAUUUGUUUUACAAAAACCGAUAUGAGUCUCUUCCAAAAUUUCAUUCUACAUUUCAUAAUUCUUAUUGUAAAAGUUCACGAUAUCUAUUUUUUGUUUGUCAUUCAUUUUAAUUUCUAGGCUGAGCUCAAAUUUCUCGAAAAUUCUGUUGUAACAUUAUGGAGGCAGAAGCUAUAACUCUUUUUUGGAUCAUGACAUGUUUGGAUAAUCUUGGCUAUGAAGAGGUAAUUUUUGAGAAUGAUUCAAAGAUAUUGGUGAAAGCGGUAGCUGAACCUCGAGAAUGGCCAAGGUUCAUAGUUUAUACCAGAGAAAUUAACAUGACAAGUAAUAAAAUAAUUUGACCAACUAUCACUUUCCAAGCAAGGAAGACAAGCCAACCAAUGUGUUGAUCUUACAGCCAAUAAAACUUCUUCAUAUGAAGUUUUUUUUUUAAGUUCUUCAUAUGAAGUUCAUUAUGCAUUCUUGAUUAUAGUACUCUUUGGUUGAGAAGGAGAAACGGAUUUAUAUGAAAUAUGUUUGUGCUCGAAAAACAAAAAAAAUGUGGCAUCAUGUUAAAAUGAUGAUAAUUCUCCUAAAUGAACAACAACAAAAAAAAAUGGAUGAUAACUCCUCGAUUACUGGGUUUGAUUCUAUACUGUAUUACUUGUCGGUUAUAUAUUCUCAUUUCCAAUUAACUUUUCCAUUUUAUUAUAACAUAUUAUGACGUCAAAAAGAAAUUAUAACAUGGUGAAAUACAAACGAUAGAACUAUUUAAGUGGCAAUAAUAAGAUGAUGUAAGAAUCUGAUCUGAUACUACAGCAAAUAGAUAUUUGUGCUUGGGUAUGCCUAGAUAUUAUAAGCAAGUUGGUCAUAAAUACAAAUACGUUCUGAAAAUGUACCAAAGAGAUAUCUAGCAACCUCCUCCACCACCACCACCGCCACAACCUCCUCCUCCACCACAACCUCCUCUACCACCACAACCUCCUCUACCACCACAACCGCCUCCACCGCCAGACGCUCCAAAAAUAUAUGGUCUAUGUUUCGUCUCAUUUUUUUCAGAUUUUUUUUCACCGGUGCAAACAAAUACGGCCAUGGCUAUUACGGAGAAGGUGGCUGCAACCACCAAUAUCCCACAAACUAAACCAAAGCCACUGGUUCGAACGUCGCUCAAUAUGCUUCUCACCAUAUUCUCUUGUGUAUAUUUUGGUUAAGUUUGAGACUUUGGAUUCGGUUUUGGUAAGGAUUUAUAUAUGCUUUUGGAUGUGUGAGAAAUAAAAAGCAUUAUUUGUAGGUAAUUCUUUAAUGGACAAUGUUGGCUUACCGCGUACGUUAGGUGUGUCGGUGUGUGGUUACGUAAGAGUAAUACGUAAAAAUCUACAAGUUUCUUUGAUGUCAUGUAAGAAAAUUUUGGUUUAUAUGAGGUGGCUACUUUUCAACGUGCUUAGAUUUGGUUCAAUAUAAGCGAUGCUUAAAAGUCUUAUGAUAAGGUCCCUCUGGCUACUUUUCAACGUGCUUUAACAUUUGGUUCUAUAUGAGGGAUGCUUAAUAGUCUUAUGAUAA